UAGUAUCUUAUGUUGCCUGCGCUUUAACUAGCGCGGCGACUAAAACCUUACACACAGUGCUUAGUUUUUCUAACAUUGCUUUGCGUGGAAUAAGCCUAGCUUUUCUGCGCAGAGGUUAUCAAAACACAAGAUUUUUAUAUCUUUUAUUACAAAUUCUAGUCAAGAAGUUUUUAUUAAAAACAAAUCUUCAA
rnacentral:misc_RNA from 1 species